rnacentral:rRNA from 1 species
CAAGUAAUUAAGUGCAUGUGGUGGAUGCCUUGGCAGUCAGAGGCGAUGAAAGACGUGAUAGCCUGCGAAAAGCUCCGGGGAGGCGGCAAAUAUCCUUUGAUCCGGAGAUGUCUGAAUGGGGGAACCCACCUACUUUAAGGUAGGUAUUGCAACAUGAAUACAUAGUGUUGCAAGGCGAACGAGGGGAAGUGAAACAUCUCAGUACCCUUAGGAAAAGAAAUCAAUUGAGAUUCCCUCAGUAGCGGCGAGCGAACGGGGAUCAGCCCAUUAAGUUAUGUGUGUUUUAGUGGAACGCUCUGGGAAGUGCGAACGUAGAGGGUGAUAUUCCCGUACACGAAAGGGCACACAUAAUGAUGACGAGUAGGGCGAGGCACGUGAAACCUUGUCUGAAUAUGGGGGGACCAUCCUCCAAGGCUAAAUACUCCUGACUGACCGAUAGUGAACCAGUACCGUGAGGGAAAGGCGAAAAGAACCCCUGUGAGGGGAGUGAAAUAGAUCCUGAAACCGCAUGCAUACAAGCAGUGGGAGCACCUUCGUGGUGUGACUGCGUACCUUUUGUAUAAUGGGUCAGCGACUUAUAUUCAGUAGCGAGGUUAACCGUAUAGGGGAGCCGUAGAGAAAUCGAGUCUUAAUAGGGCGUUUAGUUGCUGGGUAUAGACCCGAAACCAGGCGAUCUAUCCAUGAGCAGGUUGAAGGUUGGGUAACACUAACUGGAGGACCGAACCCACUGUCGUUGAAAAGCCAGGGGAUGACUUGUGGAUAGGGGUGAAAGGCUAAUCAAGCCUGGUGAUAGCUGGUUCUCCCCGAAAGCUAUUUAGGUAGCGCCUCGGACGAAUACCAUAGGGGGUAGAGCACUGUUUCGGCUAGGGGGUCAUCCCGACUUACCAAACCGAUGCAAACUCCGAAUACCUAUGAGUACUAUCCGGGAGACAGACUGCGGGUGCUAACGUCCGUAGUCAAGAGGAAAACAAUCCAGACCGCCAGCUAAGGCCCCAAAAUCAUAGUUAAGUGGGAAACGAUGUGGGAAGGCAUAGACAGCUAGGAGGUUGGCUUAGAAGCAGCCACCCUUUAAAGAAAGCGUAAUAGCUCACUAGUCGAGUCGGCCUGCGCGGAAGAUGUAACGGGGCUAAAACUAUGUGCCGAAGCUGCGGAUGUAUACUUUGUAUACGUGGUAGGGGAGCGUUCUGUAAGCCGAUGAAGGUGUGUUGAGAAGCAUGCUGGAGGUAUCAGAAGUGCGAAUGCUGACGUGAGUAACGACAAAACGGGUGAAAAACCCGUUCGCCGAAAGACCAAGGGUUCCAGUCCAACGUUAAUCGGGGCUGGGUGAGUCGACCCCUAAGGCGAGGCCGAAAGGCGUAGUCGAUGGGAAAAUGGUUAAUAUUCCAUUACUUCUGUGUAAUGCGAUGAGAGGACGGAGAAGGCUAAAUCAGCCUGGCGUUGGUUGUCCAGGUGAAAGGAUGUAGGCAUGUAUCUUAGGCAAAUCCGGGGUACUCUAUGCUGAGAUCUGAUAGCAAGCUGUACUUGUACAGCGAAGUGGUUGAUGCCAUGCUUCCAGGAAAAGUCUCUAAGCUUCAGUUACACAGGAAUCGUACCCGAAACCGACACAGGUGGUCAGGUCGAGUAGACCAAGGCGCUUGAGAGAACUCUGCUGAAGGAACUAGGCAAAAUGGUACCGUAACUUCGGGAGAAGGUACGCUGUUGUUGGUGAUGGAACUCGCUUCCUGAGCUGACGACAGCCGCAGAAACCAGGCCGCUGCAACUGUUUAUUAAAAACAUAGCACUCUGCAAACACGAAAGUGGACGUAUAGGGUGUGAUGCCUGCCCGGUGCUGGAAGGUUAAUUGAUGGGGUUAGCGUAAGCGAAGCUCUUGAUCGAAGCCCCAGUAAACGGCGGCCGUAACUAUAACGGUCCUAAGGUAGCGAAAUUCCUUGUCGGGUAAGUUCCGACCUGCACGAAUGGCAUAAUGAUGGCGGCGCUGUCUCCAGCAGAGGCUCAGUGAAAUCGAAAUCGCUGUGAAGAUGCAGUGUACCCGCGGCUAGACGGAAAGACCCCGUGAACCUUUACUGCAGCUUGACACUGAACUUUGACCUUACUUGUGUAGGAUAGGUGGGAGGCUUUGAAGCUGGAACGCUAGUUCCAGUGGAGCCGUCCUUGAAAUACCACCCUGGUAAUGUUGAGGUUCUAACUCUGUCCCGUGAUCCGGGACGAGGACCGUGUCUGGUGGGUAGUUUGACUGGGGCGGUCUCCUCCUAAAGAGUAACGGAGGAGUACGAAGGUGCGCUCAGCGUGGUCGGAAAUCACGCGUAGAGUAUAAAGGCAAAAGCGCGCUUAACUGCGAGACCCACAAGUCGAGCAGGUACGAAAGUAGGUCUUAGUGAUCCGGUGGUUCUGUAUGGAAGGGCCAUCGCUCAACGGAUAAAAGGUACUCAGGGGAUAACAGGCUGAUACCGCCCAAGAGUUCAUAUCGACGGCGGUGUUUGGCACCUCGAUGUCGGCUCAUCUCAUCCUGGGGCUGAAGCAGGUCCCAAGGGUAUGGCUGUUCGCCAUUUAAAGAGGUACGCGAGCUGGGUUUAGAACGUCGUGAGACAGUUCGGUCCCUAUCUACCGUGGGCGCUGGAAAUUUGAGAGGAUCUGCUCCUAGUACGAGAGGACCAGAGUGGACGAACCUCUGGUGUACCGGUUGUGACGCCAGUCGCAUCGCCGGGUAGCUAUGUUCGGAAGGGAUAACCGCUGAAAGCAUCUAAGCGGGAAGCCUACCUCAAGAUAAGAUUUCCCUAGGACUUUAUGUCCUCUAAAGAGCCGUUCGAGACUAGGACGUUGAUAGGUUGGAUGUGGAAGCAUAGUGAUAUGUGAAGCUGACCAAUACUAAUUGCUCGUGAGGCUUGACUA